AAGGUCUCCGUGGACUGACAGUGUUUUAUACCCGCCCUGCAGCGCCUCGGGGACGGCGCAGAGCGAUGAAGAUGACGUUGAGUCCGCUGUCGAGCACCUCUCCAUUUUUGGAACUUCGGCGUUUUGGCGCUUCCUCUCACAGCAGGAGGCCAGCACAUUAACGAGCUUCAACCUGCUGAAGACUAAAAACUCUGACCAGGAAGCAGGUAGAAUGUCCAAGCAGAGAAGCCUAGACCUCCCUCUCCCCAGCCACCUCCUCCAGCUUGUCCGGCAGGCCAGCUGAGAGAUAUAAUCUCUCAGCCUGUCUUGGGCCUGCCCCGGGGCCUCCCUGUGGGACAAGACCAGAAUACUGGCACACAAUGCAAACUGGAAACUGGUUCAGCAAACAACAUAACUCAUGCCAGUAAAGUGAAGGUGGUCUGAAUACGUAUGUGUGUUCACGUGCACACUGUGAGUUGUGUUUCCUUUCUAAUCUCAUAUUUCCGCUGUACUAAGUAAAUUCCUCAGUAACCGAUCACUUGACCCCACAGCAGGAUGAAGAUGAAGUUUCCUGACACACAGGCGUCUGCACAGGCUCAGUCUCACUCACAGUUGUAAUAUAUACUGAUUUAUUUUUAUCUUCUUUUUUCAUUUAUGUAUUUAUUUUAUUGUUAUUUAUAUGUAUUUCUUUGUCUGUUUAUUGUAUGGUUUUUAAAUUUUAUUUAUGGUUUUUAACUAAUGUGCAGCUUGUAAGCAGAGCCUGAGCCAGAGCUCUUUAACUUCAUAAGACUGUCACAUGUUUGUCUUUGGAAUGAGAUGCAUCUCACACAGUCAGUAUGAGUUUGGGAGGCCUUUCAACUCUUUUUGUGAAGCAUAACUUUGCUCCCUUCACCCUUCAUGAAGCUUCUUUUGAAACACAGUGAAGAAGGCCUUAGUUCUACUCUUCUCUGACAAAGGUAUGCUGUUGUAAUAGCUGCAAUAUGUGGUUUUGUGUUGUCCUGGAUUUAUUGUUGUGUUAUU